rnacentral:lncRNA from 1 species
UUUAAUCAUUUAUUUAUGGCAAGGAUUAAUUAAUAUGUUAAUUGAUCGGAUCAUAUUUAUAUAUAUUUUUACUUCAAAUUCACUCGUCUUUUCUUAGUUAGUUCCUUAUAAUUUUGAGCUAUUUACGUUAUUUUUGUGUUUAUAGGAUUUGUUAUGCAAAGAAAAUAAAAAUGGCACAAACUUGUUAUUUACUCACUAAAUUUUGUCAGGUUGGAAUCAGAGUUUGCACUGGGGUUAACUUAAAGAUGUUUCAGGUGGAAUGGUGAGUAACGCACAAAGAAAAGAAGCAGCAAGGCUGCCAAAAAGAAGAAUAAAAUAAAAGAGGAAAAGCAGCACUUGGCUGCCUGG